rnacentral:misc_RNA from 1 species
GUGAAUCAUCGAAUCUUUGAACGCAAAUUGCACUCUCUGGUAUUCCGGAGAGCAUGCCUGUUUGAGGGUCAGUUUAAAUAAAAAUCGGUGUGGUUGCUGCCUUUCGUUUUGACGUACCGGAUUUGGGUCGUCUUGCCUUCGGUUAAGUGACCUAAAAUUUUGCUUGAUUUUUUCGACCUUAUUUAAAUGACUUUACGUACGUUUGCGAUAUUGAAUACUCGGUGUGGUCAUCCUUA